AAUGAACGCUGGCGGCAGGCCUAACACAUGCAAGUCGAACGCCCCGCAAGGGGAGUGGCGCACGGGUGAGUAACGCGUGGGCAUAUGCCCUUCGGUUCGGAAUAACACAGGGAAACUUGUGCUAAUACCGGAUAAGAUCUACGGAUGAAAGAUUCAUCGACGAAGGAGUAGCUCGCGUAGGAUUAGCUUGUUGGUGAGGUAACGGCUCACCACGGCGACGAUCCUUAGCUGGUCUGAGAGGAUGAUCAGCCACACUGGGACUGAGACACGGCCCAGACUCCUACGGGAGGCAGCAGUGGGGAAUAUUGGACAAUUGGCGAAAGCCUGAUCCAGCCAUGCCGCGGGAGUGAUGAAGGGCUUAGUGUUGUAAAGCUCUUGCGCCAGGGAAGAUAAUGACGGUACCUGGAAAAGAAGCCUCGGCUAACUCCGUGCCAGCAGCCGCAGUAACAC
rnacentral:rRNA from 1 species